rnacentral:tRNA from 1 species
UGGUCGGGAUAGCUCAGCUGGUAGAGCAGAGG